AGGGUUGUGGCUCAGUGGUAGAGCGCUUGCCUAGCAUGUAUGAGGCACUGGGUUCAAACCUCAGCACCUUA
rnacentral:tRNA from 1 species